rnacentral:rRNA from 1 species
GACGAACGCUGGCGGCGUGCCUAAUACAUGCAAGUCGAACGCAGUGGGGACGGGUGAGUAACAAGUGGGUAACCUCCCAUCAGAGGGGAUAACAGUUGGAAACAGGUGCUAAAACGAUACUGAUGGAUGGACCCGAGGGGCAGUAGCUAGUUGGUGAGGUAACGGCUCACCAAGGCCACGAUGAAUAGACGACCUGAGAGGGUGAUCGGCCACACUGGAACUGAGACACGGCCCAGACUCCUACGGUAGGCAGCAGUAGGGAAUCUUCGGCAAUGGACGAAAGUCUGACCGAGCAACGCCGCGUGAGUGAAGAAGGUUUUCGGAUUGUAAAACUCUGUUGUUAGAGAAGCGGUAUCUACCCAGAAAGCCACGGCUAACUACGUGCCAGCAGCCGCGGUAAUAC